ACGUGAUCUGAGUUCAGACCGGAGUAAUCCAGGUCAGUUUCUAUCUAUAAAGGGCUCUUUCUAGUACGAAAGGACCGAAAAAGCAUGGCCAAUGAUCCAUUAAGCCGUAUAAUAAAACUUUAUGACCACAACUAAAUUAAUAAAAAACCUAGCACCCUGCUCAAAAAAAGAGAA
rnacentral:rRNA from 1 species